GUGCUCGCUUUGGCAGCACAUAUACUAAAAUUGGAAUGAUACAGAGAAGAUUAGCAUGGCCCUGGUGCAAGGAUGACACGUACAUUUGUGAAGCGUUCCAUAAUUUU
rfam:Tupaia chinensis contig15430, whole genome shotgun sequence.